GAAGCGGCCACACCCGGCUGGCAACAUCCAGCUCCACUCCGAACCUGGAAAUUAAGCAGUCGCGGGCCACAUCAGUACUGGGCUGGGCGACUUCCCGGGAACGUGCGGUGCUUGCUUCUUUUUCCUUUUUGCGCGGGGCAGGGCUAUUGCCCUGCACCAAUACUACACUCUACACCUAUGUUUGUCCCUGCGAAAACUCUUGUAUAAUUUGAUAUUUUUAAUUUUUUAUAAAAAUUUCAAAAUUAAACAAAAUUUUCAGCAGAGAGUGGUGUUCCGCAGUAGGAAUUUGAGAGGAAUUGUGCUAUUGUGAAGAAUGUGUGUCGAACAAUCCUUUC
rnacentral:rRNA from 1 species